GCCACUGACGCUGAGGCACGAAAGCGUGGGGAUAGAACAGGAUUAGAUACCCUGGUAUUCCACGCCGUAAACGAUGAUGGCUAACCGCCGGCGACACAUUGUCGGUGGCCAAGCGAAAGCGAUAAGCCAUCCACCUGGGGAGUACGACCGCAAGGUUGAAACUCAAAGGAAUUGACGGGGGCCCGCACAAGCGGAGGAACAUGUGGUUUAAUUCGAUGAUACGCGAGGAACCUUACCCGGGCUCGAACGGCAAAGGAAGGAUCAGGAGACUGUGACGCCCUUCGGGGCCUUUGUCGAGGUGCUGCAUGGUUGUCGUCAGCUCGUGCCGUGAGGUGUCGGCUCAAGUGCCAUAACGAGCGCAACCCUUGCCGUCAGUUGCCAUCAAGUAGUGUUGGGGACUCUGGCGGGACUGCCACCGCAAGGUGUGAGGAGGGGGGGGAUGACGUCAAAUCAGCACGGCCCUUACGUCCGGGGCGACACACGUGUUACAAUGGCGGCCACAGAGGGAAGCUACCCCGCGAGGGGAUGCGGAUCUCGAAAAGCCGUCCCAGUUCGGAUCGCAGUCUGCAACCCGACUGCGUGAAGUUGGAUUCGCUAGUA
rnacentral:rRNA from 1 species